rnacentral:rRNA from 1 species
CCUACGGGAGGCAGCAGUGAGGAAUAUUGGUCAAUGGACGAGAGUCUGAACCAGCCACGUAGCGUGAAGGAUGACUGCCCUAUGGGUUGUAAACUUCUUUUAUAUGGGAAUAAAACAGGGUAUGCAUACCCCCUUGUAUGUACCAUAUGAAUAAGGUUCGGCUAACUCCGUGCCAGCAGCCGCGGUAAUACGGAGGAUCCGAGCGUUAUCCGGAUUCAUUGGGUGUAAAGGGAGCGUAGGUGGAUUGUUAAGUCAGUUGUGAAAGUUUGCGGCUCAACCGUAAGAUUGCAGAUGAAACUGGGAGUCUUGAGUACAGUAGAGGUAAGCGGAAUUCCUGGUGUAGCAGUGAAAUGCUUAGAUAUCGCGAGGAACUCCGAUUGCGAAGGCAGGUCACUGGACAUCAACUGACACUGAUGCACGAAGGUGAGGGUAGCGAACGGGAUUAGAUACCCGGGUAGUC